rnacentral:rRNA from 1 species
UGGGGGAUAUUGCACAAUGGGCGAAAGCCUGAUGCAGCGACGCCGCGUGAGGGAUGACGGCCUUCGGGUUGUAAACCUCUGUCUUUGGGGAAGAAAAUGACGGUACCCAAAGAGGAAGCUCCGGCUAACUACGUGCCAGCAGCCGCGGUAAUACGUAGGGAGCAAGCGUUGUCCGGAAUUACUGGGUGUAAAGGGAGCGUAGGCGGAAUGGAAAGUUGAAUGUGAAAUCUAUCGGCUCAACCGGUAGCUGCGUUCAAAACUUCUGUUCUUGAGUGAAGUAGAGGCAGGCGGAAUUCCUAGUGUAGCGGUGAAAUGCGUAGAUAUUAGGAGGAACACCAGUGGCGAAGGCGGCCUGCUGGGCUUUAACUGACGCUGAGGCUCGAAAGCGUGGGGAGCAAACAGG